rnacentral:piRNA from 1 species
GAAGAUAAGCAUUUUCUGUGAGUCGU